rnacentral:rRNA from 1 species
AGCGAACGCUGGCGGCAGGCCUAACACAUGCAAGUCGAGCGCCCCGCAAGGGGAGCGGCAGACGGGAGAGUAACACGUGGGAACAUGCCCUUCAGUACGGAACAACCAAGGGAAACUUUGGCUAAUACCGUAUACGCCCGAAAGGGGAAAGAUGUAUCGCUGUAGGAUUGGCCCGCGUCUGAUUAGCUAGUUGGUGGGGUAAUGGCCCACCAAGGCGACGAUCAGUAGCUGGUCUGAGAGGAUGAUCAGCCCCACUGGGACUGAGACACGGCCCAGACUCCUACGGGAGGCAGCAGUGGGGAAUAUUGGACAAUGGGCGAAAGCCUGAUCCAGCCAUGCCGCGUGAGUGAUGAAGGCCUUAGGGUUGUAAAGCUCUUUCGUCAGGGAAGAUAAUGACGGUACCUGAAGAAGAAGCCCCGGCUAACUUCGUGCCAGCAGCCGCCGUAA